rnacentral:rRNA from 1 species
AUGGGGGGGGGGAGGGGGGAGUUCAAGUCUCGUGCAUUCACGGAAUUUUGCGAGGCUCAAGGGAUCAAGAGGUAUCUUACGGCACCAUAUUCACCGCAGCAAAAUGGUGUUGUGGAACGGAGGAACCAAACCGUGGUGGCAAUGGCACGAAGCAUGUUGAAGAGUAAAGGCAUGCCGGACAAGUUUUGGGGUGAGGCGGUCAAUACGACCGUUUAUUUGCUGAACCGGGCUCCAACCAAGAGUGUGGUUGGGAUGACGCCGUACGAAGCAUGGUACGGACACAAGCCCACAGUUGAUCAUCUUCACACUUUUGGGUGCGUGGCGCAUGUGAAAACGGUGGGUGGGCAUACUAGCAAAUUGGCGGAUCGGAGUACUCCAAUGGUGUUGGUUGGCUACGAAAAAGGCAUGAAGGCGUACUGUGUGUGCAACCCCUCAACAAAUAAGGUGAUUAUGACGCGCGACGUGGUCUUUGAAGAAGCAAGGUCAUGGAAUUGGAACUCCACCGAGCCGGUAUACCCGUCUUCCGAUGAUAUUUUCAACGUUGUUUACGAUGAUUACGAGCAUACAGAUAUUGGUAAUCAACCGGAGAGGUCGGCCGCGACAAAUGGCGCGGACGGCGCGGCAGAAAAUGGAGACGCGCCAGCUACUCCCGCUGCGUCACACGCGCACGAGCAAGAAGGACCGGCUGGUGCGCCUGAAGACACGCCAGGCAGCGCCAGCGGCGCUCGACCUGGUGGCUCACAUAUGCAUGGAGGCACUGAACGAAGCCCAUCAGGAGUCUGUCCACCUCAAAGCCCAGGUGGCUCAUCAACCAGCCUGGGAAGCCCACGUGGUGCACAUGAGCUGGUUGGUUCUCCUGUACGAGUAGGAGAAGGAACACCGAUCUCAACUGGUUCAUCUGGUGGACGCACAGCCAGUCCAGGAGUGCUCCAAUCGCCAGAAAUCGGGAGUUUGGCAACUCCAGAUGAUAUUACUUCGUCUUCGACUGAACAGGAGAGAAGGAAACGUCCACCGACACCAGUACGUCUUCGACCAGUGGUGGAAUUAUAUCCAAAGGAAGCACUUUCAAAAGUAAAUCCUGUGAAAAUUAAAGAAAGAGGACGGCGGUGUCUUCUUAGCGUCGAGGAACCGACGAAAUUUGAAGAUGCAAACACGGAGGAGUGUUGGCGUCGUGCUAUGGACGAGGAGUUGGGAUCAAUCCAAGACAACAAAACAUGGGAGCUCGUGAAUCCACCCAACGACCAUAAAAUCAUAGAGCUCAAGUGGGUGUACAAAGUCAAGAAAGAUGCCGAAGGAAACUUGGUGAAGCAUAAGGCAAGGCUCGUAGCGAAAGGAUACGUGCAAGAGCAAGGUGUAGACUUAGAGGAAGUGUUCGCUCCUGUCACAAGGAUGGAAUAG